rnacentral:rRNA from 1 species
AUUGAACGCUGGCGGCAUGCCUUACACAUGCAAGUCGAACGGCAGCACGGGAGCAAUCCUGGUGGCGAGUGGCGAACGGGUGAGUAAUACAUCGGAACGUGCCCAGUAGUGGGGGAUAACCCGGCGAAAGCCGGACUAAUACCGCAUACGACCUACGGGUGAAAGCAGGGGAUCGCAAGACCUUGCGCUAUCGGAGCGGCCGAUGUCAGAUUAGCUUGUUGGCGGGGUAAAAGCCCACCAAGGCGACGAUCUGUAGCUGGUCUGAGAGGACGACCAGCCACACUGGGACUGAGACACGGCCCAGACUCCUACGGGGAGGCAGCAGGUGGGGUAAUUUUGGACAAUGGGCGCAAGCCUGAUCCAGCCAUGCCGCGUGG